rnacentral:rRNA from 1 species
GGAUUGCCCCAGUAACGGCGAGUGAAGCGGCAACAGCUCAAAUUUGAAAUCUGGUCCCCUCUGGGGGCCCGAGUUGUAAUUUGAAGAGGAUGCUUUUGGCGAGGCGCCGUCCGAGUUCCCUGGAACGGGACGCCGCAGAGGGUGAGAGCCCCGUACGGUCGGACGCCGAGCCUCUGUAAAGCUCCUUCGACGAGUCGAGUAGUUUGGGAAUGCUGCUCAAAAUGGGAGGUAAACCCCUUCUAAAGCUAAAUACCGGCCAGAGACCGAUAGCGCACAAGUAGAGUGAUCGAAAGAUGAAAAGCACUUUGAAAAGAGAGUUAAAAAGCACGUGAAAUUGUUAAAAGGGAAGCGCUUGCGACCAGACUUGCGCCCGUCGGAUCAACCGUCGCUUGCGGCGGCGCACUCCGGCGGGCUCAGGCCAGCAUCAGUUCGCCUGGGGGGAGAAAGGCGGCGGGAAUGUGGCUCUUCGGAGUGUUAUAGCCCGCCGUGUAAUACCCUCGGGUGGACUGAGGACCGCGCGUAUGCAAGGAUGCUGGCGUAAUGGUCGUCAGCGACCCGUCUUGAAACACGGACCAAGGAGUCGUCCUAAUAUGCGAGUGUACGGGUGUCAAACCCCUGCGCGUAAUGAAAGUGAACGGAGGUGAGAGCUUCGGCGCAUCAUCGACCGAUCCUGAUGUUCUCGGAUGGAUUUGAGUAAGAGCAUAUUGGGCCGGACCCGAAAGAAGGUGAACUAUGCCUGUGUAGGGUGAAGCCAGAGGAAACUCUGGUGGAGGCUCGCAGCGGUUCUGACGUGCAAAUCGAUCGUCAAACAUGGGCAUGGGGGCGAAAGACUAAUCGAACCUUCUAGUA